ACGAGGAGCUUGCUCCUCUGACGUUAGCGGCGGACGGGUGAGUAACACGUGGAUAACCUACCUAUAAGACUGGGAUAACUUCGGGAAACCGGAGCUAAUACCGGAUAAUAUAUUGAACCGCAUGGUUCAAUAGUGAAAGACGGUUUUGCUGUCACUUAUAGAUGGAUCCGCGCCGCAUUAGCUAGUUGGUAAGGUAACAGCUUACCAAGGCAACGAUGCGUAGCCGACCUGAGAGGGUGAUCGGCCACACUGGAACUGAGACACGGUCCAGACUCCUACGGGAGGCAGCAGUAGGGAAUCUUCCGCAAUGGGCGAAAGCCUGACGGAGCAACGCCGCGUGAGUGAUGAAGGUCUUCGGAUCGUAAAACUCUGUUAUUAGGGAAGAACAAAUGUGUAAGUAACUAUGCACGUCUUGACGGUACCUAAUCAGAAAGCCACGGCUAACUACGUGCCAGCAGCCGCGGUAAUACGUAUGUGGCAAGCGUUAUCCGGAAUUAUUGGGCGUAAAGCGCGCGUA
rnacentral:rRNA from 1 species